rnacentral:lncRNA from 1 species
CUUAACUUUCGGAUGGCUGCCUUUUUUGCUGUGUCCUCACAUGGUUUUUGUUUCGUAGCCACACAGGGAGAGAGAUCUGUGUCUCUGAGGUCUCUUCCUUUUCAUAAAAGGACACAGUCCAAUUGUAUUAAGACCCUACUCUUACAACCCCACAAUUUUAAUAACUUCCUUUUAGGAGUCUUAUUUCCAAAUGUAGUCAUAUUGGGGAUUAGGGUUUCAGUACAUGAGUUUGAAGGGAACACUGUUCAGUCUAUGACAGUGAUCAAUAAAUAUUUGCUUAAAAUAUCAGCUGGUGAAUGGCAAAAUCUUUAUUCAUUGAUGGAAUGAAUGAGUAGUGAUUUCCAGUGUUCUGUUGGAAGGAGAAGAGAAGGAAUUUGAACAGAGCAGGAAGCUCCUCUAUGGCCCCUCAGGACACCCUGAAUCCAAAAGAAUCACUACAGCUUGCAGGUGUCAGCAUCUGUCCUAUCUGUCUUUUACUGGAGGCCAGUUGUUUAGUGUAAGGGAUUAUUAGGCCACAGUGGAGGAUCAGUUAAUUUCAUCCUGAGGAGGGCUGUUCCACAGCCAGGGCUCAGGGGCUGGGUGUUAAGAGCUGGAUGUAUUCCUUUUAGGAGAACCCAGACAUAAACAAAUGCAGAACAGCAUAGCUGAGCCACUUAGUAUUCCAGCACUGAAGUGCCACCAACACUAAACAAGCAACAAACAAAACACUCAGGACAUACUGAGUCAGAAUUUAUAUGCUUUUCAGUGUAAUAGAAGCCCUGAUUCUAAAAACUGGAAGUUUGGGGUUCAUUUCAGUUUCAUAGCUUUUUACAAUCCACCUUUAAAUUGUGUAGUAUAUUUUUUAAGAGGAAAUUUUAACUAAAAAAAAAAAAAGAAGAAAUGAAAACACCUCUAAAAUUGUUUUCUUAUAUAUUUGUUUCUAAGCUUUCAUUUUACAUAGUUGAAUUACAUAUUCAAGACUCUACAAUAAAUAUAUUGACAGCUAUUCCCCACACUUACAUAUAGUAUUUAUAAAUAAUUUGAAGGUCUGUGUAAUACUCCAUCCAGAGGGUGUGCAUCCAUGCGUAUAGCAGAU